GACAGAGGCCUCGAGCGUUAGGCGGAAUCACUGGGCUUAAAGCGUGUGUAGGCGGAUCGUUAAGUGUCUUGUGAAAUCCCACGGCUCAACCGUGGAACUGCUGGGCAUACUGGCGAUCUUGAGCAGCCUAGGGGCGACCGGAACAAACGGUGGAGCGGUGAAAUGCGUAGAUAUCGCUUGGAACGCCGAAGGUGAAAACAGGUCGCUGGGGAUGUGCCGACGCUGAGACACGAAAGCCAGGGGAGCAAACGGG
rnacentral:rRNA from 1 species